rnacentral:RNase_P_RNA from 1 species
UGCAAUUUUUGGAUAAUCGCGUGGUAGUUUUCUACCAUGAGGAAAGUCCAUGCUAGCACUGGCUGAGAUGCCAGUAGUGUUUGUGCUAGGCGAAUCAAUAAGCCUAGGGACGCCCUUGGGCGUUACGGCGGUUAAAAUGGCUAAGUCUUUUGAUAUGCCAGAGUAGAUCUGAAAGUGCCACAGUGACGAAGUUUUUAUGGAAACGUAAAAAAUGGAACGCGGUAAACCCCUCAAGCUAGCAACCCAAACUUUGGUCGGGGCAUGGGAUGGAUGGAAAUGAACAGAAAUCCUGACUGUUUAGAACAGUAGACAGAUGGUUAUCGAAGGUGGUAGAACCUAGUACUACCGGAACAAAACAUGGCUUACAGAAAAUUGCAUAAA